rnacentral:rRNA from 1 species
GAUGUGGUUGUAGCUGGCUCUCUUGAGAGUAAGUGCUCGCCCGUCAUCUUUNUCUUUCCACCUGUGCACUUCUUGUAGAUUUGGAUGUAACUGUCCGAGGCAACUCGGUUGGGAGGAAUGUCAUUCGUGGCUUUCCUUGUAUGUCCAAGUCUAUGUUUUCAUAUACUCCAAAGAAUGUAACAGAAUGUAUCACUAGGCCUUGUGCCUAUAAACUAAAACAACUUUCAGCAUCGAUGAAGAACGCAGCGAAAUGCGAUAAGUAAUGUGAAUUGCAGAAUUCAGUGAAUCAUCGAAUCUUUGAACGCACCUUGCGCCCCUUGGUAUUCCGAGGGGCAUGCCUGUUUGAGUGUCAUUAAAUUCUCAACCUUACUAGCUUUUGCUAUGUAAUGGCUUGGAUAUGGGGGUCUUUUGCUGGUUUCGAAAGGAAUCUGCUCCCCUUAAAUGCAUUAGCCGGUGCCCCGCGUGGACCGUCUAUUGGUGUGAUAAUUAUCUACGCCGUUAGACGUCUGCUUUAAAUGGGUUGUGCUGCUUCUAAUCGUCCUCUUAGGACAAUUAUUGACCAUUUGACCUCAAAUCAGGUAGGACUACCCGCUGAACUUA